rnacentral:lncRNA from 1 species
GUAAAUUAUUAUAAUGAAAUUUCUUCAUUUUUUUAGUUUUUAAGAAAAUUCCAACAACAAAAUUAAAAUCUUUGUGGUAUUCCUUGAAGAUCAGAAUUUUAUGCAUGAAUAAAAUAGGAGUGAUUUAUUUUCAAAUAACGUAUAAGUAUGUCAGGAAUAGGAUCAAUCUUUUUGAAAGAUUGCCUUAUCCAUGUUUGAAAGAUAAAAGGAGUGGCAGAGCUAUUGAGAGCAUUCAGAUGGAAGAGAAUGUAGAAGAGGAGAUGAGUGGUCAGUCCAAGAAUUGUACAGAUCAUCCAAGAUCGAUGACAAUACCAAAAAGUUUAGAAGUAAAAGAGAUAUUUAUCCCAAAAAAAUUCUGACUUUAAGAUUUUGAAAUAAUAACAGACAAAGUAUGAAUUUCAGAUAUAAAUUAAACAAAAUAUUAUUAAAAUUCAUGUUAG